ensembl:lncRNA
UAUCCUACACAGGGUCACGGGAAACCUGGAGCCUAUCCCAGGGAACUUGGGGUACAAGGGCGUGAAUGGGGGGCCAACCCAUCGCAGGGCGCAAUCACACACUUAUUCACACACUACAGACAAUUUGGAAAUGCUAAUCAGCCUACAAUGCAUGUCUUUGAUUGGUGGAGGAAUCCAGAGUACCUAGAGGAAACCCCCGCAGCACGGGGAGAACAUGCAAUCUACACACACAGGGUGGAGGUGGGAAUUGAACCCCCAAUCCCGGAGUUUCAGGAAGCUUGUGUCCACUGUAGCCUCAGAUUCUUCUUCGUGGCUGACAGGAGUGGAACCAGACGUGUUCGUCCGCUGUUGUAGCCCAUCCACUUCAAGACACCGACGCUCGAGCUGGAGGAAUUGGAACGAUCAUAAUUCGGUAUUCUGGACUUCAUUGUGUUGAGACUGCCAGAUGCCUGGAGUCAUUCAGCAACCACAAAAGGGCCUGUGACUUUGAAUUAAAGAGGUAUUUUGAGUGAGAGAGAGAGAAACAACUCAGUCAUUUGUUUAAAAGGAGAACGGGUACGAUUCUGUUUAAACGGAUUUUCCGACCCGUUAUCAUGCUCGAAGCUAGAGAAAAGCCCACCUCUAAAAAAAAAAAAUAACAAAAAAAAAACAACACACGUUACAUACACCAGGCAUCUGCGCUUGAACGAGGUCUUGUUCCGCAGGCCUUCUGAAAGGAGCGGGUUGGGUUUCGCAGGUCAGCGCAGAUCCGUGUGCAGAAGGAGGUAUUCACGAAGGCAUUUGAUGGCAAUUAAUAACACUGAGAAGGAGAUUGGAGCGAGGGGGAAAAAGAGGGAGGUCUUGCACUGGAGCAGAAACAAGGAAACAGUCGGAAUUUCAAAGCUGAUGCGUUACAAGAUAAACAGCGCGCCAUUCUCAGCAAAUUCGACCUCCUUUCUCUUUUCCACCCAGUUCUAUUGCAUAACGCUCUGGAAAGCUUUACAUGAUAGAUUAAGUCUCGCAGUGUCACUCCGCAAAAAAAACAAAAAACAAAAAACAAAAAAAACUGUUGUUGUUUCAAGUGAGCUGGUUGUGAAAUAUGUUUUACACAGAAAUCUCUUUGAUUCACGAUGCUUUAUUGACAGGAAGCAAACUGUUUUUGAUUAAAAGCCAUAAAUCGAUUUUUUUUUUUUCCCCGUUUGUUGGCGUGCUUGAGGAAGACGUUCGAAACUUAAACAGAAAUCCCAUCUAUUUUGAAUUAGUUUGACAGCUAACAGUGUCUUUUACAACAAAAAUAAACAAAGCUUUCUUUUCGACUGGUAGCUCCGGGGCAAACGCUUUAGUGGCACGGAGAGAGGCAAGACUGGUACUGAGUCAAAUGUAAACACGUCCCAUAAAGCACAUGUUUACGCCACCACAAAAGAGAGGGCAAUUAAAGACUGAGAUUGUGCACUGGACUGAGAGGGACUCCCUGAGGAACACGAGCCAGGCUUGUUUCAUUAAGCCUUGAACCUCGCUGCUUGUAAGACGAUGACGGCAAAGCUGAAACCUCCCUGUAGUAAUCCAUUAUCAGGAUGAGGGACAGGUGAACACUCGCCACAGUGUGUUAAGUGAUCUAUCUGCAGUGUCUUUGUGUGGCCAGUAGGGGGACUUUUUAAAAAAAAAUUGUUUAAAAAAAAAACUAAUUCUAUUAUUAUUAUUAUUAUUAUUAGUUUUGAAAAAAAAUUGCUCUAUGAACUGAAGAAAAGGUCACUGAGCUCUUGGCUCGGAAAUGACACUAUCAGUCAGUGGGGAAGAAGAAAAAGAGCGAUUCCAAACAACAGGCUGCACGAACAUGUUCGUCAGGAAUUCAGCCUGAAAGUAUCUCAGUUUACCCCACUGUGUCAACACAAAGAGCCGCAGGCUAAUGAAGAACUAAAUCAACCGGGUAGGAAAAAGCAGUGCAACGCAGGCAUGGGCGAAUAUUAGUGUAAUCUGAUCCUGUGCUGACUGAACACGCACGUUCAAGUUUAUUCACUCUAUAAAUUAUGAGAGACAAAAUUAGAUGGCUCUCCUGUUUCUAAUACAAACUGCACUGCAUAUUUAUAGAUAUACGCCUUUGCUUCUUCUUUUUUUUCUCCUCCAAAUGCAGUGGAAAACCCACUAUUCAGCUUUAAUAAUACAUCACUUUAUAUGGCAACUCAGCUAUUUAGGCCAUGAGUUAUGCUGCAUCGCCAUAGCGCUGGACUACUUUCACACAGCUAAUGACUUGUGGGAAAAACUCCACACAAACAUUAGACAAACCACUCAAUUACAUAUUCCUUUUGCUCACGAGCUGUUUACGGAUAUCAUAACUGCCUGUUUACACGAUUAAAUCCAGAGCGAGCACCUUUCUGAAAGCAGUGCCUUCGUAUUUACUGUCAACAUCAAACAUCGAGAAUGAGCAUAACUCAAAUAUAGCAAAGGGGGAAAUAUCCACAUUCUCAGUCAAUCAAGAUCACACACUCGCAGCGAUGAUUUGCUCAGUUGAAUUAAUUAGAAUGAGCUGACUUGAUUUCAUUGUGUUUGCCUAAUAAUAUUUAAAACUGAAGUUUACUUAAUACAUUUGUGGUAAAACUACAUGAAUAAUUUUUUUGUUGACAUAACUAACUGGGCAGUGGAUCUGUAGUUCCCAGCAUGCUUUGUAAGGGACUGCAUUAGGAAAGUAAAUUUAGGGAUUAAGUGUUAUUUUAUGUGUUUCUCAGAAAAGGGAAAGACACAUUAGUGUUUAAAGUGCACUUAUUAUGGUUUUGAAACGUGCCCAAAUUUGUUUUAAAGGUCUCA